rnacentral:misc_RNA from 1 species
GGCGACGAGCGCCGGCGUGUGGGGCUUUACUUUGUUUGCGCUUCCACACGCGUGUGCGCCACACACACACACACACACACACACACACACCUGCUUCUUCUUCCCUUCCCGUGCUCUGCAACCCCGAUACCGACACCAACAGCUUCGCCACAACAGACGCAGCCGCCAUGCUCAUGUGCACCAAGACUUCGCUACCUCCCCGGGCCCCCUCGCCUCUUCUUCUUCGUUGCUCGGCCCCUUUCGUUCCUCUGCGCCCGUCUUCCCGUACCAUCGCUAUCGGCGCAGUGUCGCGGCGACGGCGGUGCAGACAAGUUCUUCUUCCUGCUCGCCUCCCUUUCGAAUCGCGCAUUGUCGUGGGCUUCCGGUUGUCUUCGUGUGUUGCGCUCACCCCCCUUCAUAUAUUUUGGUUAGUCGCCCUCCCACCUUUCCCCCAGCCAUACUCGUAACCCACUCCUUCUUCGUAAGCCUUCAGCAUGUCGGGCCUGCCACGUCCUCUCUUCCCUCUGCAGCCUCCCUUUUUUUGUUGACUGGCACCUUGCUCACGCCCUCGGCCACGCCUCCACUCUCCUAGCUCGUGCGCGUAUGCCGGCGUGUGUCCGCGGAUGAGUCGAAUUCGUGCCUCGCCAUCCUUCCCCACCACACAGACACAGGGGAAGCUGGAUAGAUGCGCAAAGACAUCACAGGCUUGCACAUCAGCGCUGCUGCCCCCACCCCCUCCGCUCCCUCUUUGAUGCAUCUCUUCGGUUGCGUUGCCGUUGCUGUGGCGGCGCUGGCCGUUCUCUUCCGAGUUCUUUUCUUCGGUUGCUGCGCUGGAAGCUUGCCGUGGUCUUUCCCCUCCUCCCCACUUCGUUUUGGUGUGUGUCUCUUCUCUGUGCCCUCCGCCCCGCUCACACCACACGUGCGCGUGUGCCUCUUCACCGAUGUGGCGAUCCUUUCUCGCUUUCUUGGUGUUUGUGUGUGCUCUCUUGUCUUCUUUUUGCACCUUUGUGGUGGCGUGUGGGGCGGCUGCAGCCUCAGUCGGAGUGAGGGCACCGAUGAAACACGUGCGCGGGCACAGCUGGAGAACAUCCCGUGGUAAGAACCGCCCUUCUUCGCCCCGUUCGUCGGACCAAAAGGAGCCUCACAUACGUUCUCUGCAUUGCGGAGCCGUGCGUGUAAUGUGACCAGGUCUUUCUCUCCACCUUCUCCCCUCCCCUCCCCCCUUCUUCCUCUCACCUCGUGUGCGGACUGUCCGAUAAGAGGGAAGAUCGGUGGCCAGCACUCGGGCCAUCAGGGAGGGGGGGGCAGAGUAUUCCUCAGUAGGUAUCCUGCACAGGAGACCGCAAGGGCAGAUGCGCGCGGCUUGAUCUUUUGUGCUUGUCUUUGUCGCAGCACCGAAUCGCCUCCGUGCACAUCGGCAUCCCACCUCGCUCUCUACCUCGAAUCCUUUUUAUGGUUGCCCUUCCACCCCCUGUAUUGUUCCCCUUUUCAACGUGCGUGCGUGCGCCAUGAG